ACUACUAUCUACUACUACUACUUAGGAUGAUUGUCAUGACUGUAGAUGAGAUCUGCAAUACAGGCAAAACAGCUAGGAGAGUUCACACUAGUAACAUCCAGAGGAGAAAAGGUGACGAGUUUCGGAGCACCUAAAUCCACAAUUGCUAUUCACUGAUAUCAAAGUCAAGAAAAAGUUUAAAAAAGAGAAAAGAAAAAAAAACGAGUACAAAGAAUCAUGCAAAACGAGAUCUAUGAGAACAAAAUUUUGCCAAUAAAGAGUAAAAGC